AAAAAAAGCCAUGAUCCAACAUUCUCUAUACUCAAAUCUCAACAAUUUUCCAGCAGAAACAAAAAAAAACUCAAGUCUCCACAAUUCUCAAAUUUCAAAUCUCAACAAUUCUCAAAUUUCAAAAUAAGAAAAAAAACUAAUCAAGGCAAAACCAUAGCUUAGGCACACCCAAAGCGCUAGUCUUCAUAGAACCCAUGCCACAGCUUUCAUCGGAGUACAAUGCCCAAGGAGUAGAUGGAAGGCAACAAGGAACAAUGGGUCUGCAUCUCACUGUCUGCGAGGAGCCAAGAAGGAACCAACUAUGAGUCCGAGGAGUGAGAGAGAAGAAACUGAGGCAUGGGUCUCACUCUCUUAUGGUUUGUUGAGCGAGAAGCGAGAGAGACAUGGUGGCUGGGUUAUGCUAUUUGGUUUUUAGGUUAAUAGGUAUGUAUAUUCAAAAUGGUAGCAACAAA
rnacentral:misc_RNA from 1 species